rnacentral:rRNA from 1 species
AGAGCGAACGCUGGCGGCAGGCCUAACACAUGCAAGUCGAACGGACCCUUCGGGGUUAGUGGCGGACGGGUGAGUAACACGUGGGAACGUGCCUUUAGGUUCGGAAUAGCUCCUGGAAACGGGUGGUAAUGCCGAAUGUGCCCUUCGGGGGAAAGAUUUAUCGCCUUUAGAGCGGCCCGCGUCUGAUUAGCUUGUUGGUGAGGUAAUGGCCCACCAAGGCUACGAUCAGUAGCUGGUCUGAGAGGAUGACCAGCCACAUUGGGACUGAGACACGGCCCAAACUCCUACGGGAGGCAGCAGUGGGGAAUCUUGCGCAAUGGGCGAAAGCCUGACGCAGCCAUGCCGCGUGUAUGAUGAAGGUCUUAGGAUUGUAAAAAUACUUUCACCGGUGAAGAUAAUGACUGUAGCCGGAGAAGAAGCCCCGGCUAACUUCGUGCCAGCAGCCGC